GUAACAAGGUUUCCGUAGGUGAACCUGCGGAAGGAUCAUUAGAGUUUGAGCCGGCGCUUGGGUGCGCGGCGAAAAUCUACACGGUGGGAAUAUUGGGGGAGAUUGCUUUGGGUGUGGUGGUGGCUGCUAGGCUCUGCCUGGCGCCUGCCCGCCCGCCCAGAGGUUAAAAACACGAGAGUAAUCAUUUGAAACCAGAGAGUCACCAGAAAUACAAAAUUUAUCAAAACUUUCAACAACGGAUCUCUUGGUUCUCGCAACGAUGAAGAACGCAGCGAAUUGCGAUAAGUAUUGUGAAUUGCAGAUUUUCGUGAAUCAUCGAAUCUUUGAACGCACAUUGCACCCUCUGGCAUUCCAGAGGGUAUGCCUGUUUGAGCGUCAUUUCUCUCUCUGGGCUGUGGGCAUUUCUCUGCCUACAGUCCGGGUGUUGAGCGAGACCCCCCCUGCCCAGCAGCGGGUCCGCCCGAAAUAGACGCUGGCCAGAGUCCCCCCAGCCCCCAGCGCCCGCUAGAGCCUGUGGUGAAUGUACUAGGUAUUGCCAUCUCAUUCCAACAGCAACAGCAGCCGGGGGCCCUCUCAGGGCUCGGCCUAAGAACACCUGCCUAAAGGUUGACCUCAAAUCAGGUAGGACUACCCGCUGA
rnacentral:misc_RNA from 1 species